rnacentral:piRNA from 1 species
UGUGACGCGAAAGCAUUACAAUGAGAGCUUC